UACGUAGGGGGCGAGCGUUGUCCGAAGUUACUGGGCGUAAAGCGCGCGUAGGCGGUCUUUUAAGUCUGGUGUGAAAGGUUCAGGGCUCAACCCGAACAGUGCACUGGAUACUGGGAGACUUGAGUGCGGGAGAGGAGAGUGGAAUUCCUGGUGUAGCGGUGAAAUGCGUAGAUAUCAGGAGGAACACCGAUGGCGAAGGCAGCUCUCUGGCCUGCAACUGACGCUGAGGUGCGAAAGCGUGGGAGCGAACGGG
rnacentral:rRNA from 1 species